AAAGGUACUCCGGGGAUAACAGGCUGAUACCGCCCAAGAGUUCAUAUCGACGGCGGUGUUUGGCACCUCGAUGUCGGCUCAUCACAUCCUGGGGCUGAAGUAGGUCCCAAGGGUAUGGCUGUUCGCCAUUUAAAGUGGUACGCGAGCUGGGUUUAGAACGUCGUGAGACAGUUCGGUCCCUAUCUGCCGUGGGCGUUGGAAGAUUGAGAGGGGUUGCUCCUAGUACGAGAGGACCGGAGUGAACGCACCGCUGGUGUUCGGGUUGUCAUGCCAAUGGCAUUGCCCGGUAGCUAAGUGCGGAAGAGAUAAGCGCUGAAAGCAUCUAAGCGCGAAACUUGCCUCGAGAUGAGUCUUCCCUUGGACUUUAAGUCCACUAAAGGAACGUUUAAGACUAAGACGUUGAUAGGCUGGGUGUGUAAGUGCAGCGAUGCAUUGAGCUAACCAGUACUAAUGAACCGUGAGGCUUAACCUUACAACACCGAAGGUGUUUUAG
rnacentral:rRNA from 1 species